CCUACGGGAGGCAGCAGUGAGGAAUAUUGGACAAUGGGCGCAAGCCUGAUCCAGCCAUGCCGCGUGCAGGAAGAAGCAUCUAUGGUGUGUAAACUGCUUUUGUACAGGAAGAAACACUCCCUCGUGAGGGAGCUUGACGGUACUGUAAGAAUAAGGACCGGCUAACUCCGUGCCAGCAGCCGCGGUAAUACGGAGGGUCCGAGCGUUAUCCGGAAUCAUUGGGUUUAAAGGGUCCGUAGGCGGUUUAAUAAGUCAGUGGUGAAAUCUGGUCGCUCAACGAUCAAACGGCCAUUGAUACUGUUAGACUUGAAUUAUAAGGAAGUAACUAGAAUAUGUAGUGUAGCGGUGAAAUGCUUAGAUAUUACAUGGAAUACCAAUUGCGAAGGCAGGUUACUACUUAUGGAUUGACGCUGAUGGACGAAAGCGUGGGGAGCGAACAGGAUUAGAUACCCUGGUAGUCCACGCCGUAAACGAUGGAUACUAGCUGUUCGGAGCAAUCUGAGUGGCUAAGCGAAAGUGAUAAGUAUCCCACCUGGGGAGUACGUUCGCAAGAAUGAAACUUAAAGAGUAGUCGCGUGNGAGAGACGACGACGACGACGAGGAGGGAGGAGG
rnacentral:rRNA from 1 species